rnacentral:rRNA from 1 species
AUGUCUGAGAGGCUCAACUACGAAGAAAACAUCGAAACGGCCGCGGCCGGCGGCGAGGACGGCAUCGGCACCUUGCCGGACGAGCUCCUGCAGACGAGCGCCCUCCCGGACGAACUCCUCCAGUACGUGAUGUCGUUCCUGCUUUCCCGCGACGCCGUGCGGACAUGCGUGCUCUCUAGGCGCUGGCGCACGCUCUGGAAGUCCGUGCCCGCCCUACCCAUUGAUGAUCCCGAGAGCUACCACGGCGCUACGGGCUCCAGCUUGUUUGUCAAUGAGCUGCUUCGUCUCCGUGACCCGACGCCUCUGAAUGUAUGUGACAUCCGUUCUGGUUGUCAGGAGACUGCGAACACCAAUUGGGCCAAGGAGGCAUUCCGACACAUGGAACCAUGGCUCCUGCAUGCUUUAUCCUGUGAAGUUCCAGUGCUUCGAAUUUGUUUUCCCUGGCAGCUGUCUGUUUUGAGAAUGGAUUUGACAUGGCGCCCCAUGUUUAGGAAGCUAAAAAAGUUGUUGCUCAAUGAGUGGUGUGUGGCUGAUGAUUUCACUUGA